GGGUCAGUAGGCUGGUCGUGCCACCGGUACGUACUGGUCUCACUGAUUCCUCCUUCCUGAAUAACCGUAAUGCCAUUAAUUUGGUGUUGCGGGGAAACAGGACUGUUACUUUGAAAAAAUUAGAGUGUUUAAAGCAAGCUAACGCUUGAAUACAUUAGCAUGGAAUAAUGACAUAGGACGAUCGAUCCUAUUUUUUUGGUUUCUAGGAUUGACGUA
rnacentral:rRNA from 1 species